AAAAAAGGUAAGCUACUAAGAGCGAAUGGUGGAUGCCUUGACUGGUAAAGGCGAUGAAGGACGUACUAGACUGCGAUAAGCUACGGGGAGCUGUCAAGAAGCUUUGAUCCGUAGAUUUCCGAAUGGGGCAACCCAAUGUAUAGAGAUAUACAUUACCUAUAUAGGAGCGAACGAGGGGAAUUGAAACAUCUUAGUACCCUCAGGAAAAGAAAUCAAUAGAGAUUGCGUCAGUAGCGGCGAGCGAAAGCGCAAGAGGGCAAACCCAGUGCUUGCACUGGGGGUUGUAGGACUGCAAUGUGCAAGAGCUGAGUUUAGCAGAACAUUCUGGAAAGUAUAGCCAUAGAGGGUGAUAGUCCCGUAUGCGAAAAACAAAGCUUAGCUAGCAGUAUCCUGAGUAGGGCGGGACACGAGGAAUCCUGUCUGAAUCCGGGUCGACCACGAUCCAACCCUAAAUACUAAUACCAGAUCGAUAGUGCACAAGUACCGUGAGGGAAAGGUGAAAAGAACUGAGGUGAUCAGAGUGAAAUAGAACCUGAAACCAUUUGCUUACAAUCAUUCAGAGCACUAUGUAGCAAUACAGUGUGAUGGACUGCCUUUUGCAUAAUGAGCCUGCGAGUUGUGGUGUCUGGCAAGGUUAAGCAAACGCGAAGCCGUAGCGAAAGCGAGUCUGAAUAGGGCGCUUAGUCAGAUGCUGCAGACCCGAAACGAAGUGAUCUAUCCAUGAGCAAGUUGAAGCUAGUGUAAGAACUAGUGGAGGACUGAACCCAUAGGCGUUGAAAAGCCCCGGGAUGACUUGUGGAUAGGGGUGAAAGGCCAAUCAAACUUCGUGAUAGCUGGUUCUCUCCGAAAUAUAUUUAGGUAUAGCGUUGUGUCGUAAUAUAAGGGGGUAGAGCACUGAAUGGGCUAGGGCAUACACCAAUGUACCAAACCCUAUCAAACUCCGAAUACCUUAUAUGUAAUCACAGCAGUCAGGCGGCGAGUGAUAAAAUCCGUCGUCAAGAGGGAAACAACCCAGACUACCAGCUAAGGUCCCUAAAUCUUACUUAAGUGGAAAACGAUGUGAAGUUACUUAAACAACCAGGAGGUUGGCUUAGAAGCAGCCAUCCUUUAAAGAAAGCGUAAUAGCUCACUGGUCUAGUGAUUUUGCGCGGAAAAUAUAACGGGGCUAAAGUAAGUACCGAAGCUGUAGACUUGCACACAACUUAGAUUAUUUAAGUUUAGAAUAAGUAGUUUAAGUUGUGUGCAAGUGGUAGGAGAGCGUUCUAUUUGCGUCGAAGGUAUACCGGUAAGGAGUGCUGGAGCGAAUAGAAGUGAGCAUGCAGGCAUGAGUAGCGAUAAUUAAUGUGAGAAUCAUUAACGCCGUAAACCCAAGGUUUCCUACGCGAUGCUCGUCAUCGUAGGGUUAGUCGGGUCCUAAGUCGAGUCCGAAAGGGGUAGACGAUGGCAAAUUGGUUAAUAUUCCAAUACCAACAUUAGUGUGCGAUGGAAGGACGCUUAGGGCUAAGGGGGCUAGCGGAUGGAAGUGCUAGUCUAAGGUCGUAGGAGGUUAUACAGGCAAAUCCGUAUAACAAUACUCCGAGAACUGAAAGGCUUUUUGAAGUCUUCGGAUGGAUAGAAGAACCCCUGAUGCCGUCGAGCCAAGAAAAGUUUCUAAGUUUAGCUAAUGUUGCCCGUACCGUAAACCGACACAGGUGGGUGGGAUGAGUAUUCUAAGGCGCGUGGAAGAACUCUCUUUAAGGAACUCUGCAAAAUAGCACCGUAUCUUCGGUAUAAGGUGUGGUUAGCUUUGUAUUAGGAUUUACUCCGAAAGCAAGGAAACUUACAACAAAGAGUCCCUCCCGACUGUUUACCAAAAACACAGCACUCUGCUAACUCGUAAGAGGAUGUAUAGGGUGUGACGCCUGCCCGGUGCUCGAAGGUUAAUUGAUGGGGUUAGCAUUAGCGAAGCUCUUGAUCGAAGCCCGAGUAAACGGCGGCCGUAACUAUAACGGUCCUAAGGUAGCGAAAUUCCUUGUCGGUUAAAUACCGACCUGCAUGAAUGGCGUAACGAGAUGGGAGCUGUCUCAAAGAGGGAUCCAGUGAAAUUGUAGUGG
rnacentral:rRNA from 1 species